AUGAAAUGAUGAUGAUGUUUAUCCAUUCUCCGAGUAUUGCCAGUUGCCAGUCCUUGCAGCACUUGAUCUGUUCUAGAUCUGAGUGUGACAGCCCCAUUUACUGUAAAGGUGGCCCAGUGUUCUACUGAGUGCCUUGUAGUAUUUGGUCGCUGUUGUAGGAUUGGUCAAUCUGGCAUGGGCAGUGUCUGCCUAACAAAGAUGAGGAAUCAACUCUGAUCAU